ensembl:snoRNA small nucleolar RNA SNORA29
AAUCCCAUUUUAGUACCGUCCACUCGUACUACAAUGAAUGGAGGGUUAUGCUAAUGGGAUAGAAAAACUCUGUCAUGGUCUGAAGGUGUGGCGAGCUGAAUGUGCGCCUCUCUGAAUGAAAUGACAGCAUAUCCCUCU